AAAUCCAAACUUGGAAUGGGAGAGAGAAUCAAAAGUAUUCAAAAUGUUACUUUAUGAAGAAAAACGUGUGAUAAGAUAACUUUGAUUAAGAAAUGAAUUACGUACCGAACAAACCCACACGUCACACUACACACCUUUCCGACUAUCCACACGACAUGAGGGUAGUUUAGUCUUUAACUAUCGGACGAGAAACUCGUACGAAACUGCAAUUGGUUUUGACCGUAAUUUUAGUAAAAACUAUAGGCAAAUCUUCAACAACAACCCUCAAGACGCCUAUAAAUUAUCUCAUUCUAUCACCAACCGAAAAAAGAAAAAGAAAAAGAAAAAGAAUAUUAUUCUUAAGGCCAGAAAACAACGCCGCCGGAAAUUCUCAUCUUGUUUCGAAUCAAAUUUCUAGGGUUUCAAUUGUUUUCGCGUAAUUACCUCCAUAGUUAUAUCUGAUCUGUUGGUGGUGGAUCUUGUUCAUAUUUGAAGAUUGUAUCUUAAAACUCGAAUUUAAUCUUU